ACUUAGCCUGCUUCAUGACAGGAAUCAAUCUCAAUAAAUGCCUAUACUUGGAUUAGAGGUAGUCUGACUCUGAAUUCUUUGAGAUGGUUCUGCCACAACACACCAUGAAACCACCGCAGUUUUUAGUGUCAGGCAGUCUCUGACCUCUGACCCUCCCUCCACAUGGAGCAGAGUCUCUGAUUUGGACCCCUUCUAAUCCAAAGUUCUGGAGGUGGAGGACCAGAUGGAAAAAAGGAGGAAAUUACUCCCCUCAGAUCUAUCUAAAAGAAAAAGGAUCACUUCACUGAUCAAAGAGAGACAGGUUUCAAAACUGCACAUUGGAAUAGGACUAGCACUUAUCCUUUCCUGGGUCACAGAAAGAGAAAAGGUUUGUGUGAGUGGGGACACAACCAAAGGUAAUUGAGUAUCAUUUGGAAUAUAGAUCCAGCAAGUUUCUAUAAUCAGAGCAAGUGGUCAGUAAAAGAUAUGAGGACAAUGCCCUGCAUAUUGAAUUUUCCUGUUAGAUUUGUGUAUUCCAGACCACAGGCCAUUCACCUACAGUUGGUAGCAAACAGUGGUUCCUGGCCCAAUGCCACCUGUCAUCCCCUGGAUUUGGCCUAUGCUCAGUUCCAGUCAACUCUCCCUGGGACCCAUCGAGACAGAGACAGCUCUAUGCCCCUUGCCAGCCUGAAGAAGCUACAGAAGCAGAGACCUUCAUCCCUUUUCCCAUAUGAUUUUGGGCCCCAGUUCUUUGAGAGAGAAAUGAUGGAAUGCUAAUGAAGCUGCCCCCAACCUCAAUAGUCUAACUUCAUUAUGGGCCCCACUGAGCAUUACUGUAUACAGGAAAGAAAAAUCAGAAAAGUUGGGGGAGAGCCAGCAUAAUUGAGUGCCAUGAAAGUCAAGGGAGAAAAGGUUACAAAGAAAAAAGGAUGGUCAACAGCGCUUGGUGGUCCUGAGAAGUCAAAGACAACAAAGAAAAGCCCAUUAGAGGAGAUGAUCAAUGAUGACCUCUGAGAGAGAAGUUUUAGUUGAAGCAUGAAGAUAGAAGCCAGAUCACAAUAACUCUCUUCCCUCCCCAGGUGAUUUCACCCCUAUCACACCUUCAGCUAUCAGCCUAAUGUUGUACCUGGUACUAGGUGCUUGAUAAAUGUUUAUUGAUUUA